AGGUCGUAUGAUUGAAACGCAGAACAACAUGCGCGGUCAAGGAUGUAAUUUAUAAAUAGAAAAAACAUCCGGAUUGUCGUGUGUUUCAAUGUUUUGUAAAGUAAAACACAUCAGUUCAUUAAAUAAACCCGAACAAUUCGCUCGAAGAAAAUGAAAGGUGAUACACUUGGAUUGCUUUGUGUGCUGGUUGUAGCGCUUAUUACCCAUGGAUCUGUUGUCAGCGGGGACAGCAAAGCUCUUUCCCUGUUUCAUCGAAUGAAGAGAGGUGUCUACGGGCGUUGCAAUGGACGUUGUGGGAGUUUCAACAAUUACUGGUGUGCGAAUAGUGGUCAGUGUGUUUGUCAUAGAUUUAGAAAUAGAUGUGGACCUUACCUUGUUUAACAUGAAAUACAACGACCAGGACAAACAUAUCCUUCCUAUGUUUAUUUGUAUUUGAAUUGGUGAUUUUCGAAUGAAGCUUAUAAGGGACAUACAUGUAUUAUUUGAACAUCCAUAACGCGAUUUCAUAAUAGCCAUUUUCUAUAUAACUGGUUCUUCUAUUUAAGUCUUUUUCUUGUUCAUGACGACACUUCCUGUAAUCUUGUGUAUACAACUUGAUAAAGGCCAAAAUGGCCGAAACGUUGUUAGAAUAAUUAGUUUAUGUUUAAGUUUGACUUCUCUUGUAACUAUCGAUAUACAAAAUUAAUGAACAUGUAUAGAGAUUGUUCUAUAUUGCAUUUACUAAAAUUUUAGGAUAUAAAGAAUUAUUGCAAUCUAGGAUAUUCUAUAAGGCUAUCGACUAAAUAGCAAUGAUGUAGAAGUUCUACAAAAUGAAUAAAGAUAUCAAAUUUA